CGAAGCUAAAGGAAAAAAAAACAUAAGAGGGUAGCUAAGGCUGCUUCGCGGCUAUACACACUUUACCGUGCUUGUCAGCCACACCGCUGAGCUACGUAUUAAGCCUCAUUUAUUGAAUGAUUAGGGUGUUAAGAUCAACAACGCCGCUCAUGGAAAACGUGAAGUUUCGCAUGGCCCUACCUGCCAGUUGAGCUCAGCACACUGCGCGAGUCCUGUGGCUCCAAUCGGAUGCCCUGUUGAGAACAAUACGUGUUACUUAGCCAUAAACAAAAUGUUGGGAAUCACUUGAGUUGAUUUGAGUUUAUUUACUGCCAUUCGCAGCUCACAGAUUAUUACAGGCAAUACACAAAGACAAUGUAGUUUGCCCACCUUUCGAUUCAAGUCCUCCAGAGGGGUUCACUACCCAUUUCCCCCCAAGUUUGCAAACCUCACCACCUACAAUCAUAAGAAAUAGACCCCAUCACCUACAAACAUAAGAAAUAGACCCCAUCACCUACAAACAUAAAAAAUAGACCCCAUCACCUACAAAAAUAGGCACCUCAAGGCAUCAUUUCUUUAGAUGAAAAAAUUGGAAUAAAGUCUCUUCAUACUUGAAGGUGGCCGCAAAACUCUUGGUUAUCAAACUUAAAUAU